ensembl:lncRNA
CCUUGGCUCCUCUCCGUAAGUGGUAACCAUUUUAGGAACGGGAGCCAUUUUAGAAUGUAGGACCGUUGGUUCCAUUUUGUCUGGUAGAGAACUCUAUCAGUUGGAAACUCUGUGUAACAUGGAGCAGAACUCUUUGGAUCAUCACAGACAUGGCAUACAAGGCUUGCUGCCUGGACUGAGUGAGGAACGGGAGGUGCUCUUCAGAGACUGCCUUGAAAAGUCUUGGGGAAGAGACAGACUCCAUCCCAAUACAUUCAUCUCGGCUAUAUAUUUUUGAAGACAACUUGUUUUAAUUAUUUACAGUUCUGAAGAUCGAACUCGGGACCUUGUGCUUGCAAGGCAGGAAAUGGCAUUACUCAGCUAAAUCUCCGCCCCAAUGAUGCUUUUCUUAAAAUGAGAACAAAUCCAAAUCUCAAGGUCUUAUCUUGUACUGAGACCAGUUUUUACAUUUCAAUGACCUAAGGACCUGGAAUGUUAAUGAUCUUACUGAACUGCUCCUGAAGAAUCCCCAUCAAUGGACCUGACUUCAGUUGGAUUGAUAGAUUACUUCUCACCACUCAGAAACCAGAAAUACAGAGACGAAGCAAUGAGCAGGAGGUUAGAGUAUAAUGGAUCCAAGUUUCACAAAGUGCAGCAAUGAAGAAGCGAAAAGAAGAAUUCACUACCAAGAGUUUUAGGCUGAUGAUCAGCUUUAAGGAAGGUUUGACAAGGCUGAUGAAACAUUCUUGAGUCAAAAUCACCACACAGAAGUGUCUCACAUACCACCAGAAUGGGUCUGGCAUAGUAACCCACCGGCUUUAGCCACUGGCGGAGAGCAGCCCUGAGGAAAGGCG